CAGCUAAGUCAACGAGUUGGCCGAGUAGUCACGGCCAAUUCAACCCGCGAUCUCUCUGGGGUCGCGGGUUUUUCUUGCGCUGCACUAUAGAUACUUCGCUGAAACCGUGCAUUCAGUAACCUCGAUUCGUACCACGGCAGACUCGUUGUCUGUCGUGGUUUUUUCGUUUGCCGCUCUAAAUAAAAGCAUGAACGUGACUUUCAACGAACAGCUUGCCGGAGUGAAUUUCGUGUUUCAGGCAGGCCGUACUUACGACCUAGACGACGAGAAGGCAGAACGCUGGAUCAAAGCGGGUCUCUGUCGUCCUACAAAGCUCGAAACUGCUGACGCUGUACCAAAACGCGAGACGGCAGACGCAACCCCGACGCGCAAGCCACGAACGCCUAAGCCUGCGGC
rnacentral:misc_RNA from 1 species